rnacentral:tRNA from 1 species
CGGCGUGUGGUGGAACAGUAUACACACGAGUUUUAGAAACUCGCGGGCGAAAGCCCAUGCAGGUGCGACCCCUGUCACGUCGACCA